CCCUACGGGGCGCAGCAGGCGCGAAAACUUUACAAUGCGGGAAACCGUGAUAAGGGAACUCCGAGUGCCCGUAAACGCGGGCUGUCCAUCUGCUUAAAAACAGGUGAAGAAAGGGCCGGGCAAGACCGGUGCCAGCCGCCGCGGUAAUACCGGCGGCUCGAGUGGUGGCCACUAUUACUGGGCUUAAAGCGUCCGUAGCUUGGUUGUUAAGUCUCUUGGGAAAUCUGUCGGCUUAACCGACAGGCGUUUAAGGGAUACUGGCAAUCUAGGGACCGGGAGAGGUGAGAGGUACUUCAGGGGUAGGAGUGAAAUCCUGUAAUCC
rnacentral:rRNA from 1 species